rnacentral:lncRNA from 1 species
AUGUGGAACACCACUAAUACUUCGGUACUCAAAAUCAUAGAUGAAAACUGCCACCACCACUGCUUUAGAAACUGCCUCAAUUUCAUUUUUUUUUGUCUAAUUUCCUUGUUUUCUUUACUGACAGACGAAUUACUUAUGCGGAACUCUUGGGGGCCAGAUUGGGGUGAAAAUGGUAACUUUUGGAUUAAAACUGGAGUAUGUGGGCUUGGAAACGAAACGUAUGCAAUAUCCGAGUGGCUGAAUUUGCCGGUUUAAGUUUGGUUGAAAGGACAUCAAGAAAAGAGCGUGAUCCAUGAAUUUGCGGCUUGUCUUUUCUCUGUGGUCAAAGGGAGCGUUGCGUUGCUGCGAUACCUCACUCUAACUUAAGUGGCGCUGUUUAAUCAUAACCGUGACUAAAAUUUAGAAAUAAGUAUGGAAGAAAUAAAAAGAUUAAAUUAUGAAAAUAAGCUCAUGGUACUUAUAUCGCUUCCAGGACUUUAUGUCCGCCUACCUUUCGUCCAUUAAAUAAAUGUCCACCGCUAUUUAUGUCCACUAAAUGUUAAGUCCAGUCUUCAUUAAGUCCACAUGAUUUAAUGUCCAACCAUGAAUAUGUCCAAAAUUGUCCAAAUUGUGCGGACAUGUUAUGUCCACAUUUUUUCUUCUCAUUUAAAUGACAGGAACCACCUCAAAAGUAUUCAUUUCGGCAUUUCUUAUAUCGCAUCAAAAAUCGACAUCGAAGAUAUCAUCAUUGAAGGUAAGCUUCACUUUCCUUCUCACAGCCUUUUCCCAGUUAACUGCAUUCAUAUAAUGUAAAUAUAUUUUAAAUCUUAUAGUAAAACAAAAAGAAGGGUAGGUGGAGAUCAAAUAAAUUUUGAAUUUGAUUUUAGUGGACUUUACAUUUGUGGACUUAACUUAGUGGACGUUUAAGUAAUGGACUUAACAAUAGUGUGGGCUUUAGAACUUUGGACGUAAAAAUUUGUGGGCGAAAAGUCUGUGGACGUAGAAAAAGUGGACAUAAAGUCCGUGUACCCUUAUAUCACCGUCAGCCGGUAACGCAUUAGUCAACGAUGCUGAAAAUGGUCUAACCAAUAGAAAAGUUGGGGUGAAAAGGAUUCAAGUGCAUAUUUUUAAGCAUAACUGCACUUGAAUAUGAAAUGAGAUUAAAAAAAAGAGUAUGGCGAGACAGUCGCCAUACUCUUUCAAUCACAUAAAAUACAUGCACACUGAAAAAAAAGUUACGCGCGGGCUAUAUAGACAUA